UACAGAGGUCUCAAGCGUUGUUCGGAAUUACUGGGCGUAAAGGGCUUGUAGGUGGCCAACUAAGUCACACGUGAAAUCCCCAGGCUUAACCUGGGAACUGCGUGUGAUACUGGAUGGUUUGAAUCCGGGAGAGGGAUGCGGAAUUCCAGGUGUAGCGGUGAAAUGCGUAGAUAUCUGGAGGAACACCGGUGGCGAAGGCGGCAUCCUGGACCGGUAUUGACACUGAAAAGCGAAAGCCAGGGGAGCAAACGGG
rnacentral:rRNA from 1 species